rnacentral:lncRNA from 1 species
UGUUAUUGCUGUCUUCUUCAAAUGAGUUGUUAUCACCAUCUUCAUCAUCGUUAUCGCUUUCUUGCUUAUCCUUUCUGUGCCGUUUCUUGGUGGUGGUGUUGGUAAUUUCAUUCAUUUGGAUUGGUGAGGAUUUGAACAAGCAACAAGGUGUACACAGACACAGAGGAGAAAUAUCGUUUUACUGGGGUUGGUAAUUUCAUUCAUUUGGAUUGGUGAGGAUUUGAACAAGCAACAAGGAGUACACAGACACAGAGGAGAAAUAUCGUUUUACUGGGUUUGGUGUAGAAGCGAGUUUCAUAUAAGAGGAGAAAUAAGAAAUGGGAAAAGAGUUGAAGCAAAGACACAACAAGAAGAGGGAGAGAGAGGGAAGAAAUACUAAAGUCUUAGUAUUUGUUAUUGCCUCUUUUAAGAAUGUGUGAGCCAAGUGUGAACACAGCAUAUCCAUUGACAAUCAUGGUUAUGAGUUUAAUGUUGACUUUCUUUUUCUUCUUUCCCAUUUUCAAGUUAAAAUUCAAAAAAUCAUUUGAAGAACAAAUGAAUUUAAUUUUAAUUUUUGAGGUCAAA